UACAUUGUGUUGGAUUCAAAACGUUUCCGGUUCUGAUGUCAGAUGGGAGACGACAGACAUUUGGCAUCAAACUGUCGUCUGAAUAAGAUCAAAUGAACUUCUCUGCCUAGUAACGCUGUAAAUUCUUUGAACCGUACGUAAUAAAGUAUGCGGGUCUCAAAGUAUCAGAAACUUGGCAGAGAAUGAUUGAGCCCUUAGUCGAAUUUUACAAAAAGUUCAAAGAAUUUAUCCUCAUCAACUGAUAUAUCGACGAGGCCCUGUUUUUAAUUAACGAUCUUUUGAAUGGCUGAAUCUAACAACGAAGCGAAGAGCGUAAUGAGUAAUGAACAAACAAAGCAAACCACCCCAGCUCUCACCAGGGAAGAAGAACCUUCAAUUCUCGAAACAUCUGAACAACUACGAAGAAAACGAUCUGCUGCAAAAGGCGCAGUUACAAAAAAUAAGAAGGAGUUAACCAAAUCAAAUAGAAGUUUCCAAACUUGAGCGAAGCAAACAAUUAAAGCACAAGAAUUCAACGAAGUUGUAAAUAGAUUUUACAACGCCCACGAGCGUCAUCAUGCUACAAUAGAAGAUGAUUAUGAUCACCAAGACUCAAACAAAUACCUUCAAAUUGAACAACAAAGAAUUGAAAAUUUUCAAAGGACCUUAAACGAAUGGCUCAGAGAGUUUACAAAACAACCAUCAAUGUCAGAAGUCAAGAUAAAGCCAGUGACUAAAUUAGUAACGUUGAAGAGUAGAGCCGUGUUCUAAAACUCGAGGUUCGAAGCUACAGUGGAUACAAAAUCUACCCAGGUCAUGGGAAAAUAUAUACACGUCUACAUG